rnacentral:lncRNA from 1 species
GAGUUUGUGAUUUAGAAAUUGGGAUAACAAGAAUAUUUGUGGAUAGAUGAGUAUUUUUCAGAAUUUUUCAUGAAUAAGUUGUAUUUUUAAAUAAUUUUUUAAAAAACUGCUAUUUGCGGAAUGUUUUCAUUUUUUAGAGAACUUUUAUAGAUUUGGAUUUGUGAUUUAGAAAUUAGGAUAACAAAUAUAUUUUUGGAUAGAUGAGUAUUCUUUCAGAGUUUUUCGUGAAUAAGUUGUAUUUUUAAAUAAUUAUUUUAAAAACUGCUAUUUUUGGAAAGUUUUCAUUUUCUAGAGAACUUUUAUAGAUUUGAGUUUGUGAUUUAGAAAUUAGGAUAACAAGAAUAUUUGUGGAUAGAUGAGUAUUCUUUUAGAGUUUUUCAUGAAUAAGUUAUAUUUUAAAAUAAUUUUCUUAAAAACUUCUAUUUUGGAAAGUUUUCAUUUUUCACAGAACUUUUAUAGAUUUGAGUUUCUGAUUUAGAAAUUAGGAUAACAAUAAUAUUUGGGGAUAGAUGAGUAUUCUUUCAGAGUUUUUCAUCAAUAUAUUAUAUUUUUAAAUA